AGGAAAUCUCAGGUCCCAUGAAUGCAGCAUCCAAAUGAAGGAAAGGCUCGUGCUUUUGUGCCUUGCUGUCUGCCCUCAGAGUACCAACCACCCCUCUCAAGGAUAAGCUAUUUCUUGCAAAUUUAGCAUCCUUUAUUGCUAGUAUCUGCUUUCAAGCCGGGGGUGAUAUUUCUGAAUCAUCUGGCAUUAUUUACAACAGCUAAUGAUAGACAGAGUUUGAAGUAGAACUAUAGAGCCCCAAUCCAUCCUUUUCCUUGCUCCCAGAUGUCUCUGACCCAGGAGAUAGCAGCUUAAGCCCAUAAUGGCAAAAAAAAUACAACUUUUCCUCAGAACCAGCUCUGGAAGUCAGAAGUCCAACAUCAAAGUGCCAGCAGGAUUCAGAUUCGCUUCUUCUGUGACCUCCAUCCUUGGCUUAGUGUGUUCCAUGGGCUCAGAAGCAGUGAAUCCUCCCUCUUCUCAGAAGCAGAGCGCUUCUAUCAAACAGAGCUGAAAAUGUGAAGAACAAAAGGUCUGAAAUGUCACACGAUAAGAAAAAUUAUUUUUAAACUCUCAGUAACAGGAAAUGGAAGGAACUGUAUUCAUAGAGAAAGAAAAUGUAGAGGACAGGAAGUACUCUUACCAGGAGAAAGAGAGGAGAAAAAAGGAAGGAAGAAAUGAAGUCAGGCAAAGUUCCAAAGAAGAUAAACCCAGCCUGGUCCUGCAGAGGUCUGGAUUCUACAUUAAAUUCAGAGCUGACCCCACAGCAGAGCCAGAGAGCUGAGCUUCCAAACUCUCAUAUAAGGCAGCUAUGGACAAAACCCUCCUCAAAGGCUUGUCAGUCCCAGGGGCAUCCGAAUGCCUGUGCUGCAUAUGAACCAGCUCUUACUUGGGGCUAUUAGGUAUGAGUUCUGGCUCUUAGAAACAAA
rnacentral:lncRNA from 1 species